UUGUCGAAUCCUGCAAGGVAGAACGACCCGCGAACGCGUGACAAUCACCGCGGGCGGCGGGCCCCAGGCCGGUCGCCCGACGUCCGACGGGAGGGAAGCCACGUCUCCCCUCCCGCGGGCGCCAACAACGAACCCCGGCGCAAGUCGCGUCAAGGAACCGGAAGUAGAUGUGCGGCCCCCCUCGCACCGGAAACGGUCGUUCGGAGGCGGGCGCACGUCGUUCGUAUCCCAUACGAAACGACUCUCGGCAACGGAUAUCUCGGCUCUCGCAUCGAUGAAGAACGUAGCGAAAUGCGAUACUUGGUGUGAAUUGCAGAAUCCCGUGAACCAUCGAGUUUUUGAACGCAAGUUGCGCCCGAAGCCGUCAGGCCUAGGGCACGUCUGCCUGGGUGUCACGCAACGUCGCCAACACCCGCUCGCGGGGUGGCGGAUGCUGGCCUCCCGUGCGCUCCCGCUCGCGGUUGGCCCAAAAAAAUAAUGGUCCCCUGGCGAUGGUUGCCACGGCACGCGGUGGUCGGACCCAAUCAAAGGAAAACCAAACCGCCGUGGGCAAAGCCUCGUCGACGGGAUCAACAGACCCUGACGCAAAAGCAAGCGUCUC
rnacentral:rRNA from 1 species